rnacentral:sRNA from 1 species
AUGUGCCUUUUUGGUCUUUUUUGAACUUUUAAAUGACAUGAAAAUACAUAUACUGAAUGUAUAAAAAAAAAUUACGUAGUUUAAAAGGUAAUUAUAAACUGAACCUCCAUUUAACCAACCCCAGGUUCGGAUAUAGAAUAUCAUCAGCACAUAUACUGUUAAUGUACCCUGCACAGUUAAAUGUCUUCUACGUACCCCUCUGCCCCAGAUCACUUGGUGUUGAUCAACUUCAUUACCUUAAAAAAAAAAUGGUUUUAUGUGCAUUUGUGAACAGUAUCAGGUUUGUUUUGCAUAUUUGUGGAUUUUUUUGUAAUGGGAAUUAUACUGCAUGUAUUUUUUGUGAUUUGAUUCUCUCAGCAUUGCUUUUGAGAUUGAUUGAAGUUGACUCAUUCAGCUGUAUUUCAUUCGUUUUUAUUUCUCCAUACUAGGGUUCAGCAAAGUUCUUUCUAUAAAGGGUUAGUUAGUAAAUAUUUUAGGUUUUGCAGACCAUUAGGUCUCUGUCAUGGCUACUCAACACUACCACGGUAGUGUGAAAGCAUCAAUAGAUAAUAUGUAAAUAAAUGAGUAUAAUUGUGUUCCAGUAAAACUAUUUACAAAUACUUACCAUGGGCUGGAUUUGGCCUGUGGCCAUAGUUUGCUCAGUCUGCUCUAUAGUAUUCUGUUACAUGCAUGUACCAUAACUUAGCCAUUUUAUUGUCAGCAUUCAAAUUUUUUCCAGUAAGAGUAUGUGCAUAGAAAAAAAUUGUGUAUUUCACUUUAAAUAUACUAUAAAAUUUAUGCAUAACAUAAAUUCGACGAUAGUUUUCUUAUACAUCAUCAAACAUUAGGUCUGACAGGUCAAGAAAAGGCUUUAUAAGUAGCAAGGAACUUCUCAGGGUUCUAGAGAUUUUAUAAGAUCCCCACUUAAUGAAAUGUGUGUGUAUUGCUAUUUGUUAUUUCCUGUCACUUGAAGUAUGGCCCCUAAAACAACUUCAUGCAAAGUUUCAAAGAUCUAUUGUAGUUUCUUAUAGAGAAACAUCCUUUGACUUCAUGUGGCUGGAAUGAACAAAAUUAAGUGUGUGUAAUACUUGUUUGCCUGUUUAAAAUGCCCAGUUGUAGGGGUAUUCUAUACUGGGUACUGGAAAGGUUAACAUUACUAGGAUAUUAGGCACAGUUGGCAGCCGAAGUCUUAGGUACCUAAAAUUCCCAUUUGGGCUAUUUCUUCCCCACUGGAGAAGGUGUUUAUAAGAUUACAAAAUGAUGAAAGUGCUAGUCAAAUUACUGGGGAGCCUUUGAUUUCACAAGUGCUGGCCAGAAAGUUAGGUUUGACCGAGUUGAGUUGUUUAGUACUGUCUGCUGUGCCUCGAAGAUACUGUUCUAUUGUCUCCUUGCCUCAGUGUUAACUAAUGAAAAAAUCUGCUGUUAGUCUGAGCCCUCUUAGUUUGUAGGUAGUGAUCUUACAGGUAGUAAUCUAUAUUUUUACUGUUUUCUCUUUAUCUUCAGUGUGUUGCAGAUCAGGAUGUGUCCUAGUGUAGAUUUGUUAUUUAUCCUGCCCGAGACAUAGUGUGCUUCUGUAAUGUGAAGAUUCAGUUUUUUUUCUUCAAGUCUGGAAAGUUGUUAUUAAUUUUUAACCAUCUUCCCCCAUUGUUUCUAUUUUCUUCUAAAAACUCCUUUUAAACAUAGGGAGCUUUUUAUUCUGUCUUCAUCUCUUAAAAAUCUUUCAAUUUGCUAAUUCUUUUACUUAAUCCUCCUACUGAGAUUUUAUUUCAUCAACUUUUGUUUUCUUUUGGAUUUGUUUCUAUUUUGGAUUUUUAUUUGGUAUUUUGUCAUUUUCGCGUGUUCUUGGUUUAUUGGUGUUUCUUUAAAGUUCUUGUUAGUUCCAUUAGCUCCUUUUUCCUGCGGUGUUGGCAUUCUCCCUUAUUUUAGGGAGCAAGUUGAACAGACUUGUAUAUUUUGGGCUGCAUACCUUUUCCCUAAGUGUGUCUUUUGUGGGAGUUCUGUGGAGGUUUAUAGAGACUUCCCUGUAGGAUAGUUUGACAUUGGCAUUUUCCUGGCUUCCCAUUCUGUGCAAGGAGCAUAGUUCAAACUCCCUGCCUUCCAUACCUGGGUUCUGAAGCCUCAGCUUCCAGUACUGUUGACUGUUGAAAAUCCUAGCCCUAAAAUCCCACAUACAGUUUUUAUGACUGUUGGAUAUCUUUAUAUGAAUUUCAUUAUAGUUUCUUUCACCUAGAGGUUUUACCCAUCUGGCCUUGAGCUUGGCGGUCUUUUUUUUUAAAGGUCUGUGGUUAUUUGAAAUCCACUCAAAUUAAGAAAAGUAGAAAAUGAAAAUAUUUGAUUAUUACAGGAGUAACUUGUAAAACCCAAGGGCUAGGAAUUAGAAAUUUAGCAAGAGACAAAGCAGCUUACUCUACGUUUCUUCUAGUUUGUGUAGUCUAUAUCUCUGUGCCUUUGCAUUAGCUAUGUCUGCAGUCUGGCUUUCUCUUUUCUCCUUGCACGUGACUGUCCCAGCUGGGCUCUGCAUAAGAGUAUCUAUUUGGCCUAGAAUGGAUUCACUAUUCACCAUAGAUGGAAUUACCAUAUGUGCAGUCAGGGAAAUUGGUUAUAUAGUGAAGGGGCUGCUCCCUCUAGACCUGGAGGUAGUCAGGUUCUCUUAGAAAGAUUUAGGAACUAGGAGGAUUAUACACUCCUGGUAAAGAAGCUGCAAAAAGGUCAGAGCCUUUCAUAGUCAGUGGACUCUAGGUCCAUGUGAAUAUUGCACCAUCUAAUUAACGCUUGGAGAAUGUGGUUAGGCUAGCUGCAAGGUCACCUGUCUCUACCAUAAACAUUUUGUUCCAUAAAGAUACCGAGAGAAUGAUGUUCUUGAUUUGGCUCUUAGCCUAAAUGUUAGUGAAAAACACCAUGUUUAUUGAAAUGUGGAUAGUUUCUCUUGUUCUUAAGUUUAAUUAGGGCCCACUUGUCAUUUUUUUGUUUGUUUUUGCAAUUGCUUUUGAGGACUUAGUAAUGAAUUCUUAAUCUAUCUUGAGUUAAUUUUUUUUUUUGAGACGGAGUCUCAUUCUUUUGCCAGGCUGGAGUGCAGUGGUGUGAUCUCGGCUCACUGCAACCUCCACCUCCCGGAUUCAAGCAAUUCUCCUGCCUCAGCCUCCCGAGUAGCUGGGACUGCAGGCGCGUGCCACCAUGCCUGGCUAAUUUUGUAUCUGUAGUAGAGAUGGGGUUUCUCCAUGUUGGCCAGGAUGGUCUUGAUUUCUUGACUUCGUGAUCCACCUGCCUCAGCCUCCCAAAGUGCUGGGAUUACAGGCGUGAGCCACCGCGCCUGGCCGAGUUAAUUUUUUGUAUGUGAUGAAAGAUAGGGAUCCAUUUUUAUUCUUCUACAGAAGGAUAGCCAAUUGUCCCAGCACCAUUUAUUGAAUAGGGAAUCCUUGCCCUGUUGCUUGUUUUUGUCACCUUAGUUGAAGAUGAGAUAGUUGUAGGUAUGUGGCUUUAUUUCUGGGUUCUCUUUUCUGUUCCAUUGGUUUAUCUGUCUGUUGUUUUCUAUCAUUACCAUGCUGUUUUGGCUACUGUAGCCUUGUAGUGUACUGUGAAGUCAGGUUGUUUUUGCUUAGGAUUGCUUUGGCCAUUCUGGCUUUUUUGGUUCCAUGUGAAUUUUAGAAUAUUUUUUUCAAUUGUGUGAAGAAUGAUGUUGGUAGUUUGAUAGGAAUACAGUUGAAUCUGUAGGUUGCUUUGAGCAGUGUGGCCAUUUUAACGAUACUGAUUAUUCCAAUUCAUGAGCAUGGAAUGUUUUUCCAUUUAUCUGUGUCAUCUGUGAUUUCUCUCAGCAGUGUUCUGUAGUUUUUCUUGUAGAGAUCUUUCACCUCCUUGGUUAGAUGUAUUCCUAGGUAUUUCGUGUGUGUGUGUGGCUAUUGUAAAUGAGAUUGCGUUCUUGAUUUGGCUCUCAGUUUAAAUGUUAUUGGAAAACAUGUUUCUUAAAAGGACAUUUCACUUUGGGGGAAUAUAGAAGGGGGGCUUUUCCUGUGGGCAUUUGCUCACUGACUCAUUUCUGUCUCUGUUAUUGUAGGGACAAGCUGUGGGGGGUCUGUGUCUCCAUCCUGGCUCUCUUGCCUCGAGUCCUCAGGUUGAUGCUGCAGAGCCUGAGGGUGAACAGAGUUGGGCCUGAGGAGCUGCCUGUUGUGGGCCAGCUGCUUCGACUGCUGCUUCAGCAUGCACCCCUCAGGACUCAUAUGUUGACCAAUGCGAUCUUGGUGCAGCAGAUCAUCAAGAAUAUCACGACAUUGAAGAGUGGAAGUGUUCAGGAACAGUGGCUCACAGACUUACAUUACUGCUUCAACGUGUAUAUCACUGGGCAUCCCCAAGGGCCCAGCGCACUGGCUACAGUGUAUUGAAGAGGCCAUGGUACCUCCUGUUUGAAGUUGUUUAUUCACAUCUAUCUUAUUUGAAGAAAGACUGAUGUACUAGAUCUUUGUCAUUAAAGCUGAACUUUUAAAG